rnacentral:rRNA from 1 species
CCCUUAGAUGUCCUGGGCCGCACGCGCGCUACACUGACAUGUUCAACAAGCCUCCUAGUUCGACAGGAUUUGGGAAAUCUUUGAACGCAUGUCGUGAUAGGGAUAGAUCAUUGCAAUUAUUGAUCUUGAACGAGGAAUUCCUAGUAAGUGCAAGUCAUCAGCUUGCGCUGAUUACGUCCCUGCCCUUUGUACACACCGCCCGUCGCUACUACCGAUUGAAUGGUUUAGUGAGAUCUCUGGAUUGACGCUGGCUAGGGGGCGACCCUUGGCCAGGCUGUCGAGAAACUGCUCAAACUUGAUCAUUUAGAGGAAGUAAAAGUCGUAACA